rnacentral:rRNA from 1 species
UACGGAGGGUGCGAGCGUUGUCCGGAAUCACUGGGCGUAAAGCGUGCGUAGACGGUUAUGUAAGUCGGGUGUGAAAGCCCCGGGCUCAACCUGGGAAUUGCAUUUGAGACUGCGUAGCUAGGGUGCGGAAGAGGGAAGCGGAAUUUCCGGUGUAGCGGUGAAAUGCGUAGAUAUCGGAAGGAACACCAGUGGCGAAAGCGGCUUCCUGGUCCAGCACCGACGUUCAGGCACGAAAGCGUGGGGAGCAAACAGG